CUUUCGGAGUGGGCGAUCGCGAAAAA
rnacentral:sRNA from 1 species